rnacentral:sRNA from 1 species
AGCGCCAGCGAGAGAGCGUUGCCGCAGGCAACGACCCGAAGGGCGAAGCGCGCAGCGUUGAGUAAUCCUUCCCCCACCACCA